rnacentral:rRNA from 1 species
GACGAACGCUGUCGGCGUGCUUAACACAUGCAAGUCGAACGGAAAGGCCCUGCUUUUGUGGGGUGCUCGAGUGGCGAACGGGUGAGUAACACGUGAGUAACCUGCCCUUGACUUUGGGAUAACUUCAGGAAACUGGGGCUAAUACCGGAUAGGAGCUCCUGCUGCAUGGUGGGGGUUGGAAAGUUUCGGCGGUUGGGGAUGGACUCGCGGCUUAUCAGCUUGUUGGUGGGGUAGUGGCUUACCAAGGCUUUGACGGGUAGCCGGCCUGAGAGGGUGACCGGCCACGUUGGGACUGAGAUACGGCCCAGACUCCUACGGGAGGCAGCAGUGGGGAAUAUUGCACAAUGGGCGGAAGCCUGAUGCAGCAACGCCGCGUGCGGGAUGACGGCCUUCGGGUUGUAAACCGCUUUCGCCUGUGACGAAGCGUGAGUGACGGUAAUGGGUAAAGAAGCACCGGCUAACUACGUGCCAGCAGCCGCGGUGAUACGUAGGGUGCGAGCGUUGUCCGGAUUUAUUGGGCGUAAAGGGCUCGUAGGUGGUUGAUCGCGUCGGAAGUGUAGUCUUGGGGCUUAACCCUGAGCGUGCUUUCGAUACGGGUUGACUUGAGGAAGGUAGGGGAGAAUGGAAUUCCUGGUGGAGCGGUGGAAUGCGCAGAUAUCAGGAGGAACACCAGUGGCGAAGGCGGUUCUCUGGGCCUUUCCUGACGCUGAGGAGCGAAAGCGUGGGGAGCGAACAGGCUUAGAUACCCUGGUAGUCCACGCUGUAAACGGUGGGUACUAGGUGUGGGGUCCAUUCCACGGGUUCCGUGCCGUAGCUAACGCUUUAAGUACCCCGCCUGGGGAGUACGGCCGCAAGGCUAAAACUCAAAGGAAUUGACGGGGCCCCGCACAAGCGGCGGAGCAUGCGGAUUAAUUCGAUGCAACGCGUAGAACCUUACCUGGGUUUGACAUGGAUCGGGAGUGCUCAGAGAUGGGUGUGCCUCUUUUGGGGUCGGUUCACAGGUGGUGCAUGGCUGUCGUCAGCUCGUGUCGUGAGAUGUUGGGUUAAGUCCCGCAACGAGCGCAACCCUUGUUCACUGUUGCCAGCACGUUAUGGUGGGGACUCAGUGGAGACCGCCGGGGUCAACUCGGAGGAAGGUGGGGAUGACGUCAAGUCAUCAUGCCCCUUAUGUCCAGGGCUUCACGCAUGCUACAAUGGCUGGUACAGAGAGUGGCGAGCCUGUGAGGGUGAGCGAAUCUCGGAAAGCCGGUCUCAGUUCGGAUUGGGGUCUGCAACUCGACCUCAUGAAGUCGGAGUCGCUAGUAAUCGCAGAUCAGCAACGCUGCGGUGAAUACGUUCCCGGG